GUGGGGAAUAUUGGACAAUGGGCGAAAGCCUGAUCCAGCCAUGCCGCGUGUGUGAAGAAGGUCUUCGGAUUGUAAAGCACUUUAAGUUGGGAGGAAGGGCAGUAAGUUAAUACCUUGCUGUUUUGACGUUACCAACAGAAUAAGCACCGGCUAACUUCGUGCCAGCAGCCGCGGUAAUACGAAGGGUGCAAGCGUUAAUCGGAAUUACUGGGCGUAAAGCGCGCGUAGGUGGUUCAGCAAGUUGGAGGUGAAAUCCCCGGGCUCAACCUGGGAACUGCCUCCAAAACUACUGAGCUAGAGUACGGUAGAGGGUGGUGGAAUUUCCUGUGUAGCGGUGAAAUGCGUAGAUAUAGGAAGGAACACCAGUGGCGAAGGCGACCACCUGGACUGAUACUGACACUGAGGUGCGAAAGCGUGGGGAGCAAACAGGAUUAGAAACCCGGGUAGUCC
rnacentral:rRNA from 1 species